CCUACGGGAGGCAGCAGUGAGGAAUAUUGGUCAAUGGACGAGAGUCUGAACCAGCCAAGUAGCGUGAAGGAUGACUGCCCUAUGGGUUGUAAACUUCUUUUAUAUGGGAAUAAAAUGUUCCACGUGUGGGAUUUUGUAUGUACCAUAUGAAUAAGGAUCGGCUAACUCCGUUCCAGCAGCCGCGGUAAUACGGAGGAUCCGAGCGUUAUCCGGAUUGAUUGGGUUUAAAGGGAGCGUAGGUGGAUUGUUAAGUCAGUUGUGAAAGUUUGCGGCUCAACCGUAAAAUUGCAGUUGAAACUGGCAGUCUUGAGUACAGUAGAGGUGAGCGGAAUUCGUGGUGUAGCGGUGAAAUGCUUAGAUAUCACGAAGAACUCCGAUUGCGAAGGCAGCUCACUGGACUGCAACUGACACUGAGGCUCGAAAGUGUGGGUAUCAAACAGGAUUAGAUACCCGGGUAGUC
rnacentral:rRNA from 1 species